GGAUGUACAAUAAUGCAUCCAUAGCAUAAUCUUACCUGGUUGGUCAGAACUUGGCAUUUACUCUUUAAUCUUGCAUAGUUCUAUUUGUGUUAUUAUAACAAAUUACCAGAGACUAGGAGGCUUAAACAACAAGUAUUUAUUUCUCAAAGUUUGGGAGUCUGAGAUCACGGUGCCAGCAUAAUUGAGUUCUGGAGAAGAGUACCUUCCAAAUUGUGCAUACUUUUACAUUUGAAGUAUUGUUUUAUGGAAGAAAUGAUUAAUAUAAACUGAAAGAGACAUUCCAGAGAACAUCAUUGUUUCCACAAUAAGUCAAUAUGAUUGUUGUGGAAAAACAGACAUCUCCAUCCAUUUAUAGCAAAACGAAUGUCCCCCCAAAGCCUCAUAUUCUCAGAGGAAGCACUUCUGGAAGGUGAGUGAAUUAGGGACACUAUAGCUAACUUGUUGUAGGGAGGUGGGGUCUGGUCUGAAGAGAUGGGUCACUAUUGGUGUGACCUGGAAAGGCAUAGCUUCCUCUCUGGCUCAUCCCUUCUUUCUCUGCUUCCUGGCAGCCAUGUUGUAAGCAGCUUUCUUCUGCACAGGGCCUUCUCCCAUUUUGUUUCUGUGUUUAAACCUGCUGAACACAGACUGAAACUUCUGAACUGUAGGGCACAAUUAGCCUCUCCUCCUUUAAGUUGUGGGUGUCAGGCAUUUUGUCUCAGGAGUGAGGAAAGUGACUAAGACACCAUUUUAGGAAUCUUUCUGCACAGUUGUGGAUUGUAUCACAGGACAUGACCAUAGGAAACACA
rnacentral:lncRNA from 1 species